GGGAUGCAGUCUGGGACACGUAGUUGCAAACCUAGCGACUUUGUUGUUAGAUUCAAUGACUUUUCAGACCCCCUAACGACUUUUUUUUAGAAAGAAAGGGACUUUUAUCUACUUCUUCUGGAGUUUAGAGACUCUGACAUGAAGCAGGCUUUCCUUACUGAGGAGUUAGCAACGCUGCUAAGGGUGCAGAGCCACACAUGCGCUCAGAGCUCUGCAUGGGAGACUGAAGCUGACAGAGCUGCAGCAGUUAGCAGGUUUCACCCUCAGAGACCACCAGGGGUUCAUGUUGAGGCAUUUUUUUUUUUUUUUUUUUUGUGCCAUAGACACUGUCAGCACAAUCUGCAGUUACACUAACAAAAAUGCUGCAAAAAACAAAGAAUUGUGGAAAAAUUACACAUGGACUGACAUAGAGGAGGAUCUACACAAGUAUUUUACAUCAUGUUUUACAUCAUGCAUCAUUUACAUCAUGUUUUUUUGUAGUGGCAUAAAUAAAAAGUGACAUUUGUGAGACUAUACAGUGUUUUGUAAAUAAUUUUACAAAGAACGCCUGGGCCAUUGCCUGCAUUUUGAUGUAAAUAGAGGUAAAUCACUAUGUUCUUUGUUAAAAAUUUGCAUAUGUUUUGAAGUUUACAAUUUUUAUUUGAAGUUUAAGUUUUAAAAACAGUUCAUCACACAUAUUUGUGGUUUUCACAGUAAAAAUGUUACUUUUUUCCACUCGGAUUUUAUGUUUUGUGUGUGAAUUUGGGUCCAUUGUGUAAAUUCAGUAUGUCAACAUGAUAAAAUAACUGUAAAUUCGCACAGGUGAGGUUGUGCUGAAAAAAAUGAUACCAGGCAAGGCACGUGAUUGUCAAAUUUUGUGUCAAUAUGACAAAGCGUAUAGGCGUGAAUCUCAACAAUAUGUAUUUUCACCUUAAGGGACAAGAAAAAAUUGACUUUUUUCUCCUGCCAUGGGGGGGGGCGCUCUUUUGGGGAGUAAAAAUUCCUUCACAAAUGUGUUGAUGGCUGGACAUUGCAUCAUCCUAGAAAACUUGGAGGCCAGUGAGGACAAAAAUAAAAAGUUAUAAGACUUUUAAAUAUGUGGAUUUUAGGGUUAUCUUUGGCGCCCCCUAGAACCUAAACCGUGGGGUGCAGCGUCAUGAUUUUGAUAACUUUUAAUGGCCAUGGGGUGUAGAUUGGCCUGAGCAAAUGUGGUGCCGGUGGAACGAAAGCCUUAGGAGGAGUUAGCCACAUUCCAAUGUGUGCGGAUCGGCAAAAAAUGUGGAAUAACCCUUUAACCGUACAUUUGACAGAUACGCGCGCAUUGACUUUUUCGUAGAUCUUAUUGAGUUACAUGUGUGUGUCAAUUUUUGUGUCAUUUUGACAAAGCGUAUAGGCGUGACACUCAACAAUGUGUAUUUUCACCUUAGGGGACAAGAAAAAAUUGACUUUUUUCUCCUGCCAUGGGGGGGCGCUCUUUUGGGGAGUAAAAAUUCCUUCACAAAUGUGUUGAUGGCUGGACAUUGCAUCAUCCUAGAAAACUUGGAGGCCAGUGAGGACAAAAAUAAAAAGUUAUAAGACUUUUAAAUAUGUGGAUUUUAGUGUUAUCUUUGGCGCCCCCUAGAACCUAAACCUUGGGGUGCAGCGUCAUGAUUUUGAUAACUUUUAAUGGCCACGGGGUGUAGAUUGGCCUGAGCAAAUGUGGUGCCGGUGGAACGAAAGCCUUCGGAGGAGUUAGCGAAAUUCCAAUGUGUGCGGAUCGGCAAAAAAUGCGAAAUAACCCUUUAACCGUAAUUUUGACAGAUACGGCCGCACUGACUUUUUUGUAGAUCUUAUUGAGAUACAUAUGUGUGUCAAUUUUUGUGUCAAUAUGACAAAGCGUACAGGCGUGACAGUCAAUAGUGUGAAUUUCCACCUUAGGGGGCGCUAUGGAGCCAUUUUGCAUUUUAUUGUUUGGGCGACUUCAGAAUAUCGAAUUUUUCACCAGGCCCGGUCGUCCUGCCAAAUUUCAUGAGUUUUCGCCAGUGGGAAGUGGGCCAUUUUCCAGUUCAAAGGGGAGGAAAAAGAAGAAAGAAAGAAAGAAACUAGGGCCCCGUUGGGGCACUGGCGGGCCCGAGCCGUGUCACGCCGCCCCCAGCGCGACCGCCUCCCCCACCCGAUCGCGUCACACUCAAGGUCCAAAGAUGGUGUGCGCACUUGUUUGUGGUCAUUUACCAUUAUAAUGAACGGGAGGCGCAGUUUCUACCAAAACGCUCGCUGCAGAAAAACUCAAUGUCCUAUUUGAAAAAAGUCUGGACCAUGAGUGAGGGCACAAACACAGCUAAGAUAUAUCCAAAUGGCAAGUUGCUCCUCCUUUCGCUUUUGCCGAGAGAGCAGUGCGUUUGAGCCAUUGAAUGAUGAACAGGAAAAACUUGACUUUAUUCUCCUGCCAUGGGGGGGCGCUCUUUUAAAGAGAAAAAACUCCUUCACAAAUGUGUUGAUGGCUGGACAUUGCAUCAUCCUAGAAAACAUGGAGGCCAGUGAGGACAAAAAUAAAAAGUUAUAAGACUUUUAAAUAUGUGGAUUUUAGGGUUAUAUUUGGCGCCCCCUAGAACCUAAACCGUGGGGUGCAGCGUCAUGAUUUGAAUAACUUUUAAUGGCCAUGGGGUGUAGAUUGGCCUGAGCAAAUGUGGUGCCGGUGGAACGAAAGCCUUCGGAGGAAUUAGCAAAAUUCCAAUGUGUGCGAAUCUGCAAAAAAUGCGAAAUAACCCUUUAACCGUACAUUUUACAGAUACGUGGCCAUUGACUUUUUCGAAGAUAUUAUGUAAAUACACGUGUAUGUAAAAUUUUGUGUCAAUACGCUAAACAUACAGGCGUAGCACUCAACAAUGUGUAUUUUCACCUUAGUGGACAAGAAAAAAUUGACUUUUUUCUCCUGCCAUGGGGGGGCGCUCUUUUGCCGAGUAAAAAUUCCUUCACAAAUGUGUUGAUGGCUGGACAUUGCAUCAUCCUAGAAAACUUGGAGGCCAGUGGGGACAAAAAUAAAAAGUUAUAAGACUUUUAAAUAUGUGGAUUUUACGGUUAUCUUUGGCUCCCCCUAGAACCUAAACCGUGGGGUGCAGCAUCAUGAUUUGAAUAACUUUUAAUGGCCAUGGGGUGUAGAUUGGCCUGAGCAAAUGUGGUGCCGGUGGACUGAAAGCCUUCGGAGGAGUUAGCGAAAUUCCAAUGUGUGCGGAUCGGCAAAAAAUGCGGAAUAACCCUUUAACCGUACAUUUGACAGAUACGCGCGCAUUGACUUUUUCGUAGAUCUUAUUGAGAUACAUGUGUGUGUCAAUUUUUGUGUCAUUUUGCCAAAGCGUACAGGUGUUACACUCAACAAUGUGUAUUUUCACCUUAGGGGACAAGAAAAAAUGGACUUUUUUCUCCUGCCAUGGGGGGGCGCUCUUUUGGGGAGUAAAAAUUCCUUCACAAAUGUGUUGAUGGCUGGACAUUGCAUCAUCCUAGAAAACUUGGAGGCCAGUGAGGGCAAAAAUAAAAAGUUAUAAGACUUUUAAAUAUGUGGAUCUUAGGGUUAUCUUUGGCGCCCCCUAGAACCUAAACCGUGGGGUGCAGCGUCAUGAUUUGAAUAACUUUUAAUGGCCAUGGGGUGUAGAUUGGCCUGAGCAAAUGUGGUGCCGGUGGAACGAAAGCCUUCGGAGGAGUUAGCGAAAUUCCAAUGUGUGCACAUCGGCAAAAAAUGCGAAAUAACCCUUUAACCGUACAUUUGACAGAUACGCCCGCACUGACUUUUUUGUAGAUCUUAUUGAGAUACAUGUGUGUGUCAAUUUUUGUGUCAUUUUGACAAAGCGUACCGGCGUGACAGUCAAUAGUGUGAAUUUUCACCUUAGGGGGCGCUAUGGAGCCAUUUUGCAUUUUCUUGUUUGGGCGACUUCGGAAUAUCAAAUUUUUCACCAGGCCCGGUCGUCCUGCCAAAUUUCAUGAGUUUUCGCCAGUGGGAAGUGGGCCAUUUUCCAGUUCAAAGGGGAGGAAAAAUAAUAACUAGGACCCCGUUGGGGCACUGGCGGGCCCGAGCCGUGUCGCGUCCCCCCCCCCAACGUGCUGCCUCCCCGUCCCAUUUGUGUCCUCUGGCCAUCGCCCUCUCUGGUAACGCCCAUCACUGCAAAGACCCUUUUCCUUCAUCGGCGUUUGCUGUUCUUCCUGCCAGUGCGUGUUGCUUUCACUUACACUUGCCACAGCCAGCCUCGUGAGUGCCUAGCCUAUUGGAUAUCACUGUCACCUACACAGGACAGUCAUUACCUUUCUAUUAAUACUUUGUGUUUUAAUUUCACAUUAAUUUCCAUAUUGUAUAAACGACUGGAAAAAACUUGAGCCCCUGCCCCUGUAUAAUCAUGUGCAUGUCUCUGUUCUAGCUCCAAGGUGAAUCUUCACUGCUCAUGUUCUCCUCAGAAGCACUCACCUCACUCCCCUCAGGUUACUGUACACAUGCACCAACUGCCUGCUUCAGGUUUGGAUGGAGCUUCAUGGUUGUCUUUUGGAGAAAUGACCAGUCAAGUUGUGUUUGAAAUUUGAUUUUUUUCAGGGGCAAAAGGAGCCUCUGCAUUCUUGUCAAAUAUGUAAAUAGCUUGUUUUUGCAGGUGCUAAAAACCAGACUCUGAGUGUGUGUGUGUGUGUGUGUGUGUGUGUGUGUGUGUGUGUGUGUGUGUGUGUGUGUGUGUGUGUGCGUGUGUGUGUGUCUGUGUGUGCGUUCAAGUCACAUGACAUAUUUAACCGGAUGUAGCUGCAAGACCGGAGCCUCGUUGACUCUCCGUUUCAACUUAUCUCAAAAGUGAGGACCUCAACCUAUAUACCAGUUUUUAAAUUGUGUUGAUAGGCCAAAUAAAACCAGAGUUAUGAUAAAUUAUGUCCGCGAUACUUUUUUUCUGCUUAUUUUGAUCACGUUCGGCGCUCGAUCGCGCUGUAUGAGACAGGAAAACAUAGCAUGCAGACAUUAGCGACAGGUCUUACAGGCGGAAAAGGCUUGCCAAAAGAAAAAAAAAAAACACACCACAACAUCUCUCCUAUUGGUGGAAAACUUCACCACAACAACCAAUCCAAAAUUAUAUGGUGACUGAUUGACAAGGGGCGUGCGCUUACGUUCUUCCUGCAACAUGAGAAGGGAGGGAGGGACUCUCAGCAGGGAUGCAGUCUGGGACACGUAGUUGCAAACCUAGCGACUUUGUUGUUAGAUUCAAUGACUUUUCAGACCCCCUAACGACUUUUUUUUAGAAAGAAAGUGACUUUUAUCGACUUCUUCUGGAGUUUAGAGACUCUGACAUGAAGCAGGCUUUCCUUACUGAGGAGUUAGCAACGCUGCUAAGGGUGCAGAGCCACACAUGCGCUCAGAGCUCUGCAUGGGAGACUGAAGCUGACAGAGCUGCAGCAGUUAGCAGGUUUCACCCUCAGAGACCACCAGGGGUUCAUGUUGAGGCAUUUUAAUUUUUUUUUUUUUUUGUGCCAUAGACACUGUCAGCACAAUCUGCAGUUACACUAACAAAAAUGCUGCAAAAAACAAAGAAUUAUGGAAAAAUUACACAUGGACUGACAUAGAGGAGGAUCUACACAAGUUUUUUACAUCAUGUUUUACAUCAUGCAUCAUUUACAUCAUGUUUUUUUGUAGUGGCAUAAAUAAAAAGUGACAUUUGUGAGACUAUACAGUGUUUUGUAAAUAAUUUUACAAAGAACGCCUGGGCCAUUGCCUGCAUUUUGAUGUAAAUAGAGGUAAAUUACUAUGUUCUUUGUUAAAAAUUUGCAUAUGUUUUGAAGUUUACAAUUUUUAUUUGAAGUUUAAGUUUUAAAAACAGUUCAUCACACAUAUUUGUGGUUUAAUUUCACAUUAAUUUCCAUAUUGUAUAAAUGACUGGAAAAAACUUGAGCCCCUGCCCCUGUAUAAUCAUGUGCACGUCCCUGUUCUAGCUCCAAGGUGAAUCUUCACUGCUCAUGUUCUCCUCAGAAAUAGUCACCUCACUCCCCUCAGGUUACUGUACACAUGCACCAACUAUCUGCUUCAGGUUUGAAAUGGAGCUUCAUGGUUGUCUUUUGGAGAAAUGAACAGUCAAGUUGUGUUUGAAAUUUGAUUUUUUUCAGGGGCAAAAGGAAGCCUCUGCAUUCUUGUCAAAUAUGUAAACAGCAUGUUUUUGCAGGUGCUAAAAAACAGACUCUGAGUGUGUGUGUGUGUGUGUCUGUGUGUGUGUGUGUGUGUGUGUGUGUGUGUGUGUGUGUAUGUUGGCGUGUGUGUAUAUGUGUGUGUAUCCUGCAGUACUCUGUACUCCUGCAGUGGCCAAAAAGACUUUUAAGAAUGUGGAUUUUUGGGUCAUCUUUGGCGCCCCCUAGAACUGCAGUACUCUGUACUCCUGCAGUGGCCAAAAUGACUUUUAAGAAUGUGGAUUUUUGGGUCAUCUUUGGCGCCCCCUAGAACGUAAACCGUGGGGUGCAGCGUCAUGAUUUUUACAACUUUGAAUGGGCAUGGGGUGUAGAUUGCCCUGAGCAAAUUUGGUAUCGGUGGGACGAAAGCCUUAGGAGGAGAUAACCACAUUCCAAUGUGUGCGAAUCGGCAAAAAAUGCAAAAUAGCCCUUUAACCGUACAUUAUACAGAUACGCGCUCUUUGACUUUUUCGUAGAUCUAAUUGAGAUACACAUAAUUGUCAAUUUUUGUGUCAAUAUGACAAAGCGUUCAGGCGUGACACUCAACAAUGUGUAUUUUUAUGUAAGGGGACAAGAAAAAAUUGACUUUUUUCUCCUACCAUGGGGGGGCGCUCUUUUGGGGAGUAAAAAUUCCUUCACAAAUGUGUUGAUGGCUGGACAUUGCAUCAUCCUAGAAAACUUGGAGGCCAGUGAGGACAAAAAUAAAAAGUUAUAAAACUUUUAAGAAUGUGGAUUUUUGGGUUAUUUUUGGCGCCCCCUAGAACCUAAACCAUGGGGUGCAGCAUCAUGAUUUGUACAACUUUGAAUGGCCAUGGAGUGUAGAUUUGCCUGAGCAAAUGUGGUGCCGGUGGAACGAAAGCCUUCGGAGGAGUUAGCGAAAUUCCAAUGUGUGCGUAUCGGCAAAAAAUGCGAAAUAACCCUUUAACCGUACAUUUGACAGAUACGCCCGCACUGACUUUUUUGUAGAUCUUAUUGAGAUACAUGUGUGUGUCAAUUUUUGUGUCAAUAUGACAAAGCGUACAGGCGUGACAGUCAAUAGUGUGAAUUUUCACCUUAGGGGGCGCUAUGGAGCCAUUUUGCAUUUUAUUGUUUGGGUGACUUCAGAAUAUCGAAUUUUUCACCAGGCCCAGUCGUCCUGCCAAAUUUCAUGAGUUUUCGCCAGUGGGAAGUGGGCCAUUUUCCAGUUUAAAGCGGAGGAAAAAUAAUAAUAACUAGGACCCCGUUGGGGCACUGGCGGGCCCGAGCUGUGUCGCGUCCCCCCCCCAACGCGCUGCCUCCCCGUCCCAUUUGUGUCCUCUGGCCAUCGCCCUCUUUGGUAACGCCCAUCACUGCAAAGACCCUUUUCCUUCAUCGGCGUUUGCUGUUCUUCCUGCCAGUGCGUGUUGCUUUCACUUACACUUGCCACAGCCAGCCUCGUGAGUGCCUAGCCUAUUGGAUAUCACUGUCACCUACACAGGACAGUCACUACCUUUCUAUUAAUACUUUGUGUUUUAAUUUCACAUUAAUUUCCAAAUUGUAUAAACGACUGGAAAAAACUUGAGCCCCUGCCCCUGUAUAAUCAUGUGCACGUCUCUGUUCUAGCUCUAAGGUAAAUCUUCACUGCUCAUGUUCUCCUCAGAAGCAGUCACCUCACUCCCCUCAGGUUACUGUACACAUGCACCAACUGCCUGCUUCAGGUUUGGAUGGAGCUUCAUGGUUGUCUUUUGGAGAAAUGACCAGUCAAGUUGUGUUUGAAAUUUGAUUUUUUUCAGGGGCAAAAGGAGCCUCUGCAUUCUUGUCAAAUAUGUAAAUAGCAUGUUUUUGCAGGUGCUACAAACCAGACUCUGAGUGUGUGUGUGUGUGUGUGUGUGUGUGUGUGUGUGUGUGUGUGUGUGUGUGUGUGUGUGUGUGUGUGUGUGGCGUGUGUGUAUAUGUGUGUGUAUCCUGCAGUACUCUGUACUCCUGCAGUGGCCAAAAAGACUUUUAAGAAUGUGGAUUUUUGGGUCAUCUUUGGCGCCCCCUAGAACUGCAGUACUCUGUACUCCUGCAGUGGCCAAAAUGACUUUUAAGAAUGUGGAUUUUUGGGUCAUCUUUGGCGCCCCCUAGAACGUAAACCGUGGGGUGCAGCGUCAUGAUUUUUACAACUUUGAAUGGGCAUGGGGUGUAGAUUGCCCUGAGCAAAUUUGGUAUCAGUGGGACGAAAGCCUUAGGAGGAGAUAGCCACAUUCCAAUGUGUGCGAAUCGGCAAAAAAUGCGAAAUAGCCCUUUAACCGUACAUUAUACAGAUACGCGCUCUUUGACUUUUUCGUAGAUCUAAUUGAGAUACACAUGAUUGUCAAUUUUUGUGUCAAUAUGACAAAGCGUUCAGGCGUGACACUCAACAAUGUGUAUUUUCAUGUAAGGGGACAAGAAAAAAUUGACUUUUUUCUCCUGCCAUGGGGGGGCGCUCUUUUGGGGAGUAAAAAUUCCUUCACAAAUGUGUUGAUGGCUGGACAUUGCAUCAUCCUAGAAAACUUGGAGGGCAGUGAGGACAAAAAUAAAAAGUUAUAAGACUUUUAAGAAUGUGGAUUUUUGGGUUAUCUUUGGCGCCCCCUAGAACCUAAACCGUGGGGUGCAGCGUCAUGAUUUGUACAACUUUUAAUGGCCAUGGGGUGUAGACUGGCCUGAGCAAAUGUGGUGCCGGUGGAACGAAAGCCUUCGGAGGAGUUAGCGAAAUUCCAAUGUGUGCGGAUCGGCAAAAAAUGCAAAAUAACCCUUUAACCGUACAUUUGACAGAUACGCCCGCAC